rnacentral:tRNA from 1 species
GGUCCCGUGGUGUAGCGGUUAUCACGUCGCCCUGUCACGGUGAAGAUCGCGGGUUCGAUUCCCGUCGGGACCG